rnacentral:tRNA from 1 species
GGGCGCCAGCCGCCACGGCAAGCGCCGCGUCCCUGGCAAUUUCCGAGGCUGUAAAGGGGAGCGCAGGGUGAAAAUCCCGCAUGCGCCCGCCA